UCAUUUUGUACACCUUGUGCAUGAAAGAAUAUUCCAGUAAGUGUAUUGUCAAAACAUAGAUGUAGGAAAUAAUUCCUGUGUAAAGAUAUGCAUUAGUAACUUCAAUGUAGGGUUACCAAGAGAUGUUUUAGCGUUAAUGCUGCCUGAAAAAUAGGCUCCCAUUUCCGCAGAAUGGCUCUGCUAGAGCAUCAGCAAAGGAAUAUGAAGUUCARCCCAAGACUCUUCAUCGCAGUGAAGUGAUUCUGAAUGUGGCCCUGGAUCCAGAUGCUGAGAGUUGUAAAGCAGGAAGCAGCAUGAGCCACAGUAUGACAAGCACAAAUGGGAAGAUGUGCAGCCACUCUCAGACUCUGAAAAUGGCUUAUUUCCACAUGGAUUUUACCCAUUUCUUAUAGAGGUUAGGUAGGUUUUCUGAUUCUGUGCUGAUCUGCAAGCUGGUGAGGAUAAAAUAGACUGGGAUGCCUGUUUAUCUACUUUCCAGCUGUCCACUCAUCAUCUUCCUUUUUUGCUGCUCAACCUUGUUUCUCCAUGCUGUGCCCUGGAGGGAUGAAGCGAGGCAAGGCGUUUGGUUAUUCUGCUUCCUCGUGGAGUGCUGGUAGGCACGGGACAGGAGGCGGCUCUGC